UGUCCCAUGUACCAAAUCCCCUCGCAGCCGCUGGCCCCGGCCAACCCACUCUUUCCUCGGGAUCCCCUUGCCCGAUCUCCCUCGAUCUCCUCGCCCAGCCAACCGCCGACGACCGGACCAUCCCCAAUCCUCUGUUUCCCAAGCAGACGCAUCCAGCCACCCGUAGCUCCCUCCGUCCGCGCCACCCAACAGGCCCGCGACCCGAGCCGAGCGCCUCGCCUUCCUGCCCGAGCUCCCUGAGACUCCCCCGUCGCGCCCUGCUUCCUGCUCAAGCCCGAGCACGCAGCGCCGCGCCCGUGCGGUAGCGAGCAGCCUGAAGCCUCGCUCUAGUCGGCCAUCGAAGCUCGCCGCAGCAUGAACGCCAUGGACGCCGUCAGUAGGAGCUCUCCUUCAUGGCCGCCCGAACUUUUCCCUCCACCUCCGUUCCUCGCCACCAACCAAAGCUCCGGCAGCCCUCGUUGUCUUCGACCCGGACCCCGCCGAUGGCAACUAGGAGUCAACGCCAUCGAGGGCUCCCAUGCACGACCUCGCCCCUCCGCCCGGAUGUGGUGGCCAAUUGCUGGAUCCGGUCGCUCCCGUGCCUGGCCUCCCGUGCACCCCGCUCGAUCCUUCCGUCGUCCCCCGCGUCGCCGGUGAGGAACCCAGAGUUCCGGACCGCUUCGAAGUGUGAAGAUUCGCUCGACUACGUUGGUCCGUGUGCUUCAGGGAUUCGUUCUUCUUCCAAGCGGGGUCACAAGCAAGAUGACGAUUUUCCUAUAUGUCACUAUUAUCAUUGAUAUGCUAGUUGUCUCAUUUCUUUUGCUAUGUCUCGCUACCUGCCACCUGUUGAUGUCAACCUUCCAGCAUUGCCAUAAAAAUCCUCUAACCCCUCCA